CCUACGGGUGGCAGCAGUGAGGAAUAUUGGUCAAUGGCCGGAAGGCUGAACCAGCCAUGCCGCGUGAAGGUCAGUGCCCUAUGGGCGUUAAACUUCUUUUGUGCGGGAGCAAUAAUGGUCACGUGUGACCAGACGAGAGUACCGUACGAAUAAGCAUCGGCUAACUCCGUGCCAGCAGCCGCGGUAAUACGGGGGAUGCAAGCGUUAUCCGGAGUUAUUGGGGUUAAAGGGUUCGUAGGCUGUGAGGUAAGUCAGCGGUGAAAUGCCCCCGCUCAACGGGGUGAAGUGCCAUUGAUACUGCCUUGCUGGAAUGCGGAUGCCGUAGGAGGAAUGUGUAGUGUAGCGGUGAAAUGCAUAGAUAUCACACAGAACACCGAUUGCGAAGGCAUCUCACGAAUCCGCGAUUGACGCUGAUGCACGAAAGCGUGGGUAUCAAACAGGAUUAGAUACCCGUGUAGUC
rnacentral:rRNA from 1 species